rnacentral:lncRNA from 1 species
AGACAGGAAGUUUCAUGCCCUUCAGCAGAUCUCUAAGGAUAUUUUCCAUUGCAGUAUACUGGUGUGGCUGAAGAGGACUUGGAGACAGUCUUAGUUCUCAGACAGUUGCACUUGGUCUGAAUGUUGGACAGUGGUAGUACUAUUAUCAGAAAUGUAAUGAUUUGGAGCUAUAAAUGAUGGAAGAUUUAUGUACAGAUUUCAGUAGAGGUGGCAUCCAGGGAAACUUCCUUGAUGUCCUGCACAGAUGUCACUGCUGACUCAUUUAGGUUUAGAGUUUUCCAUAAGAAGUGGUUCUUCAGAACGGGCUUGGAUUUGUUCCUCCGUAUCUGCCUCUUGCCUCCUGCAUUUUAGAAGGUUUGAAAACCACUGCCAGGUGUUUACAGAUUCUGCAUGCAGAAGACUAAAAGGGACUGUUUACAGAACGGUAUACAAACACUGGCUGUAAAUGAUAUGCCACAAAGCUGUGGUGAUAAUGCUGUUUUAAAAUGUGUACCAGUGGGGACACAGAGCUAAUUUCCAUAACUACUGCAGCAUCUUAUGCCUCUGAGAGGAAAUAGUACUACAAAGUUACUGUUAUGGAAUAUAAAGUGGAAACUACUUAUUAAGU